rnacentral:rRNA from 1 species
UGUAUUAGCUAGUAGGUGAAGUAACGGCUCACUUAGGCGACGAUACAUAGCCGACCUGAGAGGGUGAUCGGCCACACUGGGACUGAGACACGGCCCAGACUCCUACGGGAGGCAGCAGUAGGGAAUCUUCGGCAAUGGGGGCAACCCUGACCGAGCAACGCCGCGUGAGUGAAGAAGGUUUUCGGAUCGUAAAGCUCUGUUGUAAGAGAAGAACGAGUGUGAGAGUGGAAAGUUCACACUGUGACGGUAUCUUACCAGAAAGGGACGGCUAACUACGUGCCAGCAGCCGCGGUAAUACGUAGGUCCCGAGCGUUGUCCGGAUUUAUUGGGCGUAAAGCGAGCGCAGGCGGUUAGAUAAGUCUGAAGUUAAAGGCUGUGGCUUAACCAUAGUACGCUUUGGAAACUGUUUAACUUGAGUGCAGAAGGGGAGAGUGGAAUUCCAUGUGUAGCGGUGAAAUGCGUAGAUAUAUGGAGGAACACCGGUGGCGAAAGCGGCUCUCUGGUCUGUAACUGACGCUGAGGCUCGAAAGCGUGGGGAGCGAACAGGAUUAGAUACCCUGGUAGUCCACGCCGUAAACGAUGAGUGCUAGGUGUUAGGCCCUUUCCGGGGCUUAGUGCCGUAGCUAACGCAUUAAGCACUCCGCCUGGGGAGUACGA